rnacentral:rRNA from 1 species
GGGGAAUAUUGGGCAAUGGGCGAAAGCCUGACCCAGCGACGCCGCGUGAAGGAUGAAGGUCUUCGGAUUGUAAACUUCUUUGAUCAGGGAAGAAAGAAAUGACGGUACCUGAAAAACAAGCCACGGCUAACUACGUGCCAGCAGCCGCGGUAAUACGUAGGUGGCAAGCGUUGUCCGGAUUUACUGGGUGUAAAGGGCGUGUAGGCGGGGAUGCAAGUCAGAUGUGUAAUCCCGCGGCUCAACCGCGGAACUGCAUCUGAAACUGCGUCUCUUGAGUGUCGGAGGGGAAAGUGGAAUUCCUAGUGUAGCGGUGAAAUGCGUAGAUAUUAGGAGGAGUACCGGUGGCGAAGGCGGCCCCCUGGACGAAGACUGACGCUCAGGUGCGAAAGCGUGGGGAGCAAAC